AAAUUUGCAUUUGCGAUUCUUGCACAUGCUCGUACGAAAGCUGCUGUUUUGUGGUGGCUCACGCUUUUUGUUCAAGAGAAAUUUGCAUACCACGGAGGAGAUACUUUGACAAUGCAAUUCCAAAAGCCUGACAAGUCGGCCCUGGCCAGUCGCCUCCCACAUGUGGCUAAACAUCAGCGGUCUCUGGUUCCUGCCGAUGUCCCUGGGACUUUUUGCGGCUUUUUCGGUUCACUUUCCGGGGCCUCCCACUGGCCGCCAAACUUUCUUAAUGAGCUUCGUACGGAUUUGCGGUUUCUUUCGCCUAUCGCGAGUAACAUGGAAAUCGAUGUGUAAAACAAUAGGCGUGUCUGUGAUUGGCUGCCUUAAGCGACUGCCAGCCCUGUAGAUGGAUAUCUCGGUCCUCACUCGCAAUAAUACCAGCACUCGAGCCCAUUGUUGGCACUCGAAUUAUAUACACAUUAUCUGCGCACCGGAUCCGGGCCAGGGACGAGCUCAGUAGCCCCACAGGACACCUUCCAGCACACAGACCAACACUUACGCAAGGAGUCAGACGUUGUUAUUUUAAUAGUUUAAGUAACCAUAAUAUGUUGAGGACUUUUUAAUAAACUUGAAACAUGAGCGAGCGUGAGCCACAAGGACACCAGAGACCGGCAGGAUGUGAACUAGGACCGGCUGCAGUCGGGCAAGAUUUAUGCAAACCAAAAUGUAGCCAAAAAUUACAGUUUAAUGGAGUAGACUCGGGGAGUGUGCGUGGUCCCGGUCGUAAUGAGCAGCGAGAAACUUGCAACAAAGCCAAGUUUGCUGUAGACAAAGGACCAGAGGCCAAGUUGUAUCCCGGGCCAGGAGCAACUCCGAAUGUAUGCAGAAGUAACUUCUCUAAUUUUGCAGGAAAUAUGAAGCCAUUAAAGUGCAGCAGACGAAACAAGGCAGCAUCUUGACUACUGCGGCACUCAGAUACUUAGAAGGGGUGCCUCCAAAAAGGCGAAGGACCUGGCACAUAAGGUGCAAGAGAAGGAGGAGGAGCUGGAGCUGGAACUGAAGCUGGAGCUGGAGGAUGGAGGAUGGACGCAACACUCCGGGGCCAUGUGGCCUGCCUGCAAAGUUGUCCUCGAGAGUGUGAAAAUAAAUUGUGAAAAAGUUGUAGAAGUGAAAAUGCCAACUGGUUUGCAUGCCCCUGCCCCGAUGUCCAUCCCCGGGGCAGAUUACAACUACAGGAACGCGAUCCGGGUGAAAAGGCACUAAGCGCCCACAGCCCGAUAUACGUACAUACAUAUCUUUAAUUGCCAACUUGGCCACUGGCUGCGAGAAAAAUGACUCCUGGUAACUGCAGCGCAGUAUUCUGGUCCAGCUGGUGUCACAUGUCCGGUAUCCGGCGCUAGUUCCACUUAAUCAUUGCCAGGCCGACCCACAAAAGGGGAGUCAGAAGGUGCCGUGAUCUGUAUAACGAAUGUACUGAGACUCAUAUCUCCGCUUAAAGGGAGUUUUACUUAAUUACUCUAUCUGAAGGAACGAGUCAGCAGAAGCGGUUUGCACGGUUUAAAAGUGGCAGUUUCGAGUUGGACGACAAAGAACGAAAAAUUAAUAAACAUUAGCGCCACCAAAAUUUGAGGAUGAGGAAUUGGAGGCAUUGCUCAAUGAAGACUCAUCACAAAUGCAAAAGGAACUUGCAAAUUCGCUUGGAGGCACUAAACUGCAGCGACGUCUCCAACGCCGUUUUUUCCACCACAUGUCGGUCGAGCCGUUAAAACGUACUUGGAAACACAUCGAUGGGAAAUCCUACCACACCCGCGUGGUAGCCCAGACAUUGCACCUUCCGAUUACUAUCUGUUUCGAUCGAUGGGUCAGGGUCUGGCAGACCAGCACUUCUCCAAGUAUGAUAAAGUCAAAGAAUGGAUGGAUAUUUGAAAAAAGCGUAGAUUUCUUUCGGCGCGGAAUCCGUGAUUUGCCAUAAAGAUGGCGAAAAGUAGUGGUUACCGAUGGGCAAUACUUUAAAGCGU